rnacentral:rRNA from 1 species
AUACGUAGGUGGCAAGCGUUAUUCGGAUUUAUUGGGCGUAAAGGGUCCGUAGGGGGGUUGUUAAGUCUGAUGUGAAAGCCCGUGGCUCAACCACGGAACUGCAUUGGAAACUGGUGACCUAGAGCAUAGGAGAGGUGAGUGGAAUUCCUGGUGUAGCGGUGGAAUGCGUAGAUAUCAGGAGGAACACCGGAGGCGAAGGCAGCUCACUGGACUAUUGCUGACCCUGAGGGACGAAAGCUAGGGGAGCGAACAGGAUUAGAAACCCGUGUAGUCC